rnacentral:rRNA from 1 species
GUGACCUCAAAUCAGGUAGGACUACCCGCUGAACUUAAGCAUAUCAAUAAGCGGAGGAAAAGAAACUAACAAGGAUUCCCCUAGUAACUGCGAGUGAAGCGGGAAAAGCUCAAAUUUAAAAUCUGGCGGUCUUWUGGCUGUCCGAGUUGUAAUCUAGAGAAGUGUUAUCCGCGCUGGACCGUGUACAAGUCUCCUGGAAUGGAGCAUCAUAGAGGGUGAGAAUCCCGUCUUUGACAUGGACUGCCAGGGCUUUGUGAUGCGCUCUCAAAGAGUCGAGUUGUUUGGGAAUGCAGCUCAAAAUGGGUGGUAAAUUCCAUCUAAAGCUAAAUAUUGGCGAGAGACCGAUAGCGAACAAGUACCGUGAGGGAAAGAUGAAAAGAACUUUGGAAAGAGAGUUAAACAGUACGUGAAAUUGCUGAAAGGGAAACGCUUGAAGUCAGUCGCGUCAUCCAGGGAUCAACCUUGCUUUUGCUUGGUGCACUUCCUGGUUUGAUGGGUCAGCAUCAAUUUUGACUAUUGGAAAAAGGCUGAGGGAAUGUGGCAUCUUCGGAUGUGUUAUAGCCCUUGGUCGCAUACAAUGGUUGGGAUUGAGGAACUCAGCACGCCGCAAGGCCGGGUUUUAAACCACGUACGUGCUUAGGAUGCUGGCAAUAUGGCUUUAAUCGACCCGUC